UACGUAGGGGGCUAGCGUUGUCCGGAAUCAUUGGGCGUAAAGAGCGCGUAGGCGGCCCGGUAAGUCCGCUGUGAAAGUCGGGGGCUCAACCCUCGAAUGCCGGUGGAUACUGUCGGGCUAGAGUGCGGAAGAGGCGAGUGGAAUUCCCGGUGUAGCGGUGAAAUGCGCAGAUAUCGGGAGGAACACCAAUGGCGAAGGCAGCUUGCUGGGACGGUACUGACGCUGAGGCGCGAAAGCGUGGGGAGCAAACAGG
rnacentral:rRNA from 1 species